rnacentral:rRNA from 1 species
GACGAACGCUGGCGGCGUGCUUAACACAUGCAAGUCGAGCGAUGAAGCUUCUUCGGAAGUGGAUUAGCGGCGGACGGGUGAGUAACACGUGGGUAACCUGCCUUAUAGUGGGGAAUAGCCUUUCGAAAGGAAGAUUAAUACCCCAUAAGAUUGUAGUUUCGCAUGAAACAGUAAUUAAAGGAGCAAUUCGCUAUAAGAUGGACCCGCGGCGCAUUAGCUAGUUGGUGAGGUAACGGCUCACCAAGGCGACGAUGCGUAGCCGACCUGAGAGGGUGAUCGGCCACAUUGGGACUGAGACACGGCCCAGACUCCUACGGGAGGCAGCAGUGGGGAAUAUUGCACAAUGGGGGAAACCCUGAUGCAGCAACGCCGCGUGAGUGAUGACGGUCUUCGGAUUGUAAAGCUCUGUCUUUAGGGACGAUAAUGACGGUACCUAAGGAGGAAGCCACGGCUAACUACGUGCCAGCAGCCGCAGUAAAAC